AUUGAACGCUGGCGGCAUGCCUUACACAUGCAAGUCGAACGGCAGCACGGGUGCUUGCACCUGGUGGCGAGUGGCGAACGGGUGAGUAAUACAUCGGAACAUGUCCUGUAGUUGGGGAUAGCCCUGCGAAAGCCGGAUUAAUACCGCAUACGAUCCACGGAUGAAAGCGGGGGACCUUCAUGCCUCGCGCUAUAGGGUUGGCCGAUGGCUGAUUAGCUAGUUGGUGGGGUAAAGGCCUACCAAGGCGACGAUCAGUAGCUGGUCUGAGAGGACGACCAGCCACACUGGGACUGAGACACGGCCCAGACUCCUACGGGAGGCAGCAGUGGGGAAUUUUGGACAAUGGGCGAAAGCCUGAUCCAGCAAUGCCGCGUGUGUGAAGAAGGCCUUCGGGUUGUAAAGCACUUUUGUCCGGAAAGAAAUCCUUGACUCUAAUACAGUCGGGGGAUGACGGUACCGGAAGAAUAAGCACCGGCUAACUACGUG
rnacentral:rRNA from 1 species